GACGAACGCUGGCGGCGUGCUUAACACAUGCAAGUCGAACGAAGUGGCGAACGGGUGAGUAACGCGUAAUCAACCUGCCCUUCAGCGGGGGACAACAGUUGGAAAAGAAUGCUAAUACCGCAUACUGAAGGAGGGGAUUGAGUCUGAUGAGCUAGUUGGAGGGGUAACGGCCCACCAAGGGGAUGAUCAGUAGCCGGUCUGAGAGGAGUAACGGCCACAUUGGGACCGAGACACGGCCCAGACUCCUACGGGAGGCAGCAGUGGGGAAUCUUCCGCAAUGGACGAAAGUCUGACGGAGCAACGCCGCGUGAGUGAUGACGGCCUUCGGGUUGUAAAGCUCUGUUAAUCGGGACGCGGUACCGGAAUAGAAAGCCACGGCUAACUACGUGCCAGCAGCCGCGGUAAUUC
rnacentral:rRNA from 1 species